rnacentral:rRNA from 1 species
UACGGAGGGGGCUAGCGUUGUUCGGAAUCAUUGGGCGUAAAGGGCGCGUAGGCGGUUUUGUAAGUCGAAUGUGAAAGCCCAGGGCUUAACCCUGGAAUUGCCUUUAAGACUGCAUCGCUAGAAUCGUGGAGAGGUGAGUGGAAUUCCGAGUGUAGAGGUGAAAUUCGUAGAUAUUCGGAAGAACACCAGUGGCGAAGGCGACUCACUGGACACGUAUUGACGCUGAGGUGCGAAAGCGUGGGGAGCAAACAGG